UACGUAGGGUGCAAGCGUUAAUCGGAAUUACUGGGCGUAAAGCGUGCGCAGGCGGUGAUGUAAGACAGGUGUGAAAUCCCCGGGCUUAACCUGGGAACUGCAUUUGUGACUGCAUCGCUGGAGUGCGGCAGAGGGGGAUGGAAUUCCGCGUGUAGCAGUGAAAUGCGUAGAUAUGUGGAGGAACACCGAUGGCGAAGGCAGCCCCCUGGGUCAAAACUGACGCUCAGGCACGAAAGCGUGGGUAGCGAACAGG
rnacentral:rRNA from 1 species